UUUUCUCCAUUGUGGAUUGGCCUUCGCAUCUUUGAACGGUACAAUUCCUAAAGCAGUUUUCGUUUCUCUGUUACCCCUUCCAAACUUCGUUAUGUUGUAUAAACAGGGUUGUCGUUAGUUUCUUCCCAUUUUCUUCUUUACUUGGACUUGUCUCCUCACCGCCGAACAAGAUAGAGGCAUCGGGCGACGAAGGAGAGUCAUUUCCCCUUCCUUUACGUUUUCCAUUGUGCCAUUGUGGAGAGGUGCAGUUCAAAUCCAAAACUUACCAUCCCAAGAAGAACUUAAUCCCUUUUUUAUAGUAGUGACUGAGCCAAAACUCAGUGGUUUUUGGAGAAUUCAUCACUUCCUCUCCUCUUCGAUAUGGGAACCUAAGAACAUUUUCAUUUCACCCUCUGCAAGAGAAACGAAAGAUCCAUUAUUGCCAAUGGUUGAGGUAUGGAGAAUUCUUCUUUUUACAUCACUUUCGUUUCCUUCCAUCGAUUGAGAAAGCACUCAAUCACUUUCAUUGUAGUGUAAUGAAUAUCUCCUCGUGCUCCCUCCCACUGUCGGACGAAUCAAAGACUAAUUGUGGACUUUCAAAGAACCAACUCAUGACGCCAAUUUUUCUAGCUAACAGUGGAUACAUAUUCUAAUCAUUUCAGCAUCAAUCAAGACAUAUCCCUUGAAUUUUGGGUUCCAAACAGGGGAUGAAAACAGUUUUGGUUAUUGGCCCCUUCCGAUAAUUCCAGGAUUUUAGGCCCUUAUUCAAUCUUGGUCAUUCACAACUUAAUUAAGUACAAAGAGAUGUAAAACAUAUAAAAAAGCCUUUUCCUUUCCACCUUUCCAUGACAUA